rnacentral:rRNA from 1 species
AGUGAACGCUGGCGGUAGGCCUAACACAUGCAAGUCGAACGGCAGCACAGUAAGAGCUUGCUCUUACGGGUGACGAGUGGCGGACGGGUGAGGAAUACAUCGGAAUCUACUUUUUCGUGGGGGAUAACGUAGGGAAGCUUACGCUAAUACCGCAUACGACCUACGGGUGAAAGCAGGGGAUCUUCGGACCUUGCGCGAUUGUAUGAGCCGAUGUCGGAUUAGCUAGUUGGCGGGGUAAAGGCCCACCAAGGCGACGAUCCGUAGCUGGUCUGAGAGGAUGAUCAGCCACACUGGAACUGAGACACGGUCCAGACUCCUACGGGAGGCAGCAGUGGGGAAUAUUGGACAAUGGGCGCAAGCCUGAUCCAGCCAUACCGCGUGGGUGAAGAAGGCCUUCGGGUUGUAAAGCCCUUUUGUUGGGAAAGAAAAGCAGCAGGUUAAUACCCCGCUGUUCUGACGGUACCCAAAGAAUAAGCACCGGCUAACUUCGUG